rnacentral:rRNA from 1 species
CGCUGGCGGCAUGCCUUACACAUGCAAGUCGAACGGCAGCACGGAGCUUGCUCUGGUGGCGAGUGGCGAACGGGUGAGUAAUAUAUCGGAACGUACCCUGGAGUGGGGGAUAACGUAGCGAAAGUUACGCUAAUACCGCAUACGAUCUAAGGAUGAAAGUGGGGGAUCGCAAGACCUCAUGCUCCUGGAGCGGCCGAUAUCUGAUUAGCUAGUUGGUAGGGUAAAAGCCUACCAAGGCAUCGAUCAGUAGCUGGUCUGAGAGGACGACCAGCCACACUGGAACUGAGACACGGUCCAGACUCCUACGGGAGGCAGCAGUGGGGAAUUUUGGACAAUGGGCGCAAGCCUGAUCCAGCAAUGCCGCGUGAGUGAAGAAGGCCUUCGGGUUGUAAAGCUCUUUUGUCAGGGAAGAAACGGGUCUUUCUAAUACAGAGAUCUAAUGACGGUACCUGAAGAAUAAGCACCGGCU